AGCGAACGCUGGCGGCAGGCUUAACACAUGCAAGUCGAACGGUCCUUCGGGAUAGUGGCGGACGGGUGAGUAACACGUGGGAACGUGCCUUUAGGUUCGGAACAACACAGGGAAACUUGUGCUAAUACCGGAUGUGCCCUUCGGGGGAAAGAUUUAUCGCCUUUAGAGCGGCCCGCGUCUGAUUAGUUUGUUGGUGAGGUAAUGGCUCACCAAGGCGACGAUCAGUAGCUGGUCUGAGAGGAUGACCAGCCACAUUGGGACUGAGACACGGCCCAAACUCCUACGGGAGGCAGUAGUGGGGAAUCUUGCGCAAUGGGCGAAAGCCUGACGCAGCCAUGCCGCGUGAAUGAUGAAGGUCUUAGGAUUGUAGAAUUCUUUCACCGGGGACGAUAAUGACGGUACCCGGAGAAGAAGCCCCGGCUAACUUCGUGCCAGCAGCCGCAGUAA
rnacentral:rRNA from 1 species